AUGAAGUUGUUGAAUUUUGACAGAACGAGUGUUGUUGAUGAUGAAGAUUGCCAAAGACGAAAGAAUGAGUGGUGUCCUCUCUGGAUUGUGCAGGCUGUUUUGGAGCCAUUUCUUGAUUGCAGGUUUGGAAUUCGAUGGUGCGAGGAUGAAAAGCCAAGUUUGAUAGAGUUAAGAUAUGGGGAUAAAGGCAACAAUUAUUGA